UACGGGGGGAGCAAGCGUUGUUCGGAUUUACUGGGCGUAAAGGGCGCGUAGGCGGUAGCACAAGUCAGUUGUGAAAUCUCCGGGCUUAACUCGGAAAGGUCAACUGAUACUGUGCGACUAGAGUGCAGAAGGGGCAACUGGAAUUCUCGGUGUAGCGGUGAAAUGCGUAGAUAUCGAGAGGAACACCUGCGGCGAAGGCGGGUUGCUGGGCUGACACUGACGCUGAUGCGCGAAAGCCAGGGGAGCGAACAGG
rnacentral:rRNA from 1 species